rnacentral:tRNA from 1 species
GUGGCUUAGUGGUAAAGUGCUUGCCUAACAUGCAUGAGGCUCUGGGUUCGAUUCCUUGGUAUCACA